CCGCAUGAAAAAUGUAAAGCGUUAUGUGGAUCGAACAUUAGUAGAGAAGCGUGUGAGCCAGCUGCCAAGAAAAGCCGCUAUUGUUUCAUAAGUACCCGUACCGUAAACCGACACAGGUGGAUGAGGAGAGAAUCCUAAGGCCGGCGGGAGAAGUGUUGUUAAGGAACUCGGCAAAAUGACUCCGUAACUUCGGGAGAAGGAGUGCCACAGAGAUGUGGCCGCAGAGAAAUGGCCCAAGCAACUGUUUAGCAAAAACACAGGUCUAUGCAAAACCGAAAGGUGAGGUAUAUGGGCUGACGCCUGCCCGGUGCUGGAAGGUUAAGAGGAGAGGUUAGAGCAAUCGAAGCUUUGAAUUUAAGCCCCAGUAAACGGCGGCCGUAACGAUAACGGUCCUAAGGUAGCGAAAUUCCUUGUCGGGUAAGUUCCGACCCGCACGAAAGGCGUAAUGAUUUGGGCACUGUCUCAACAACACACCCGGUGAAAUUGAAAUACCAGUGAAGAUGCUGGUUACCUGCGCCAGGACGGAAAGACCCCAUGGAGCUUUACUCCAGUUUGAUACUGGGAUUCGGUACUGUCUGUACAGGAUAGGUGGGAGGCUAGGAAAUGGUGACGCCAGUUGCCAUGGAGCCAACCUUGGGAUACCACCCUUACAGUACUGGGUUUCUAACCUGCAGCCGUAACCCGGCUGGGGGACAAUGUCUGACGGGGAGUUUGACUGGGGCGGUCGCCUCCGAAAGAGUAUCGGAGGCGCUCAAAGGUUCCCUCAGAACGGUUGGAAACCGUUCGAAGAGUGCAAAGGCAGAAGGGAGCUUGACUGCGACACCGACGGGUGGAGCAGAUACGAAAGUAGGACUUAGUGAUCCGGUGGUAUAAAGUGGGAUUGCCAUCGCUCAACGGAUAAAAGCUACCCUGGGAUAACAGGCUUAUCACUCCCAAGAGUUCACAUCGACGGAGUGGUUUGGCACCUCGAUGUCGGCUCAUCGCAUCCUGGAGCUGUAGCAGGUUCCAAGGGUUGGGCUGUUCGCCCAUUAAAGCGGUACGCGAGCUGGGUUCAGAACGUCGUGAGACAGUUCGGUCCCUAUCCGGCGUGGGCGUAGGAUAUUUGAGAGGAGCUGUCCUUAGUACGAGAGGACCGGGAUGGACAAACCUCUGGUGUAUCUGUUGUUUUACCAAAGGCAUGGCAGAGUAGCCAAGUUUGGCAGGGAUAAACGCUGAAGGCAUCUAAGCGUGAAGCCCCCCUCAAGAUAAGAUAUCCCAUCUUCGGAGUAAGACCCCUUGAAGACUACAAGGUUGAUAGGCUUCAGGUGUAAGUGUGGUAACGCACUCAGCUGAGAAGUACUAAUAGGUCGAGGACUUAUCUA
rnacentral:rRNA from 1 species